rnacentral:lncRNA from 1 species
UUUCCUUUACCUAACCAAAUCUUAUAAAACGGCCUCACCCCUCCCUUUGCUGACUCUCUUUUCAGACUCAGCCCGCCUGCACCCAGGCGAAAUAAACAGCCUUGUUGCUCACACAAAGCCUGUUUGGUGGUCUCUUCACACAGACGCCCAUGAAAUUUGGUGCAGUGACUGGGAUCGGGGGACCUCCCUUGGGAGAUCAAUCCCCUGUCCUCCUGCUCUUUGCUCCGUGAAAAAGAUCUACCUACGACCUCAGGUCCUCAGACCCACCAGCCCAAGGAACAUCUCACCAAUUUUAAAUCGGUAGGUCCAGAUUCAUCAUUACUGCUUUGACUUUGAAGACGUUGGAUCAAUUAACAUAAUCAACUGUUACCUGUUACAUUCCAAGCCAGAUGAUCAUACCAAGUCCCAUGAAAUUAUUAGCUGUCAACUGCUAAAUCUUUAUCCAGCUCAAGCCUCUCUCCAGAAUUUCAAGACUGGACAGCCACAGCCUAUUAGACAUCUGCACAUGGAGAGCCUACAGGAUACCUCCAAUUCAAAAGGUUGACAGUUACCUAUCCCAUCUAACCCACAAACCAGGCCAUCCUCUGUCUCAAGCCCUGGGGAUUGAUGGUAACAUCUUGUCAGUUGCCAUAACCAGAAACUUCAGGGAUGUCCUUGACUUUUCUUUUUUUGCUUAGCCUGCUUACCCCAUCAGUUGCAAGAAAGUAUUGUUUCUAUCUUCCAAACGUACUCAGCUUUGCAAAUAAAGUUACCAUUGGCAGGGAUAAAACACACACUCAGUUGAACACACACACACACACACACACACACACAGAACUCACAUCUACUUAGAGUCUCUGAUUUAUUUAGUCCAUGAUAGAGAACAAACAAUGGUAUCAUGGUCCACACAGAGAAGGGGCAGAUGCAGCAUAAUCUCUUCUCUAUUUUUUCCUUGCCUGGGAUCCGUAUGAAGUGCUCUGUAGCUGGUGCUACCCUUUGCAUAGGCAGGAAUCUAACAAAUUUUAAAAAAAAAUCCAAAUUUUUGUUGCAACACUACAUUUUUUAUACUUAGGUUUAUGUCCAACAUUCCAGAAGAACCUGAACUAACAAUCUAUGUACUUCCACUUAAGGGGUUAUUUGCAAGCGUUGACCUUUCCUGGCUCUUUAAGUAAACUCAGCAUCAGAAAGGCAAUAUUCUCUUUCCAAGAGAAAAAAGCAGUCAAUGCCCAGGAGUCUCAGAACAGUAUAUCUGCCUCCACUUUUAAGGUAUCCUAAAAAGCCAACAAUCAGGGGCCAGGUGCGGUGGCUCAUGCCUGUAAUCCCAGCACUUUGGAAGCCCGAGGCGGGUGGAUCACCUAAGAUCAGGAGUUUGAGAACAGCCUGACCAACAUGGAGAAACCCCGUCUCUACUAAAAAAUACAAAAAAAAAAAAAAAAAAAAAAUUAGCCGGACAUGGUGACGCAUCCCUGUAAUGCCAGCUACUUGGGAGGCUGAGGCAGGAGAAUCGCUUGAACCUGGGAGGCGGAGAUUGCUGUGAGCAGAGAUUGCACCAUUGCACUCCAGCCUGGGCAACAAGAGUGAAGCUCUGCCUUAAAACAAACAAACAAACAAAAAAGCCAACACUCUUUUUAUCUCAAUAACAUUUCUCAAACAAUCUCUGCUAUCCUAGUUCAGGCCACCAGGCUCCCUUGCUUAGAUGAAGACACAACCUCUAACUGACCAUCUUUCCUCUCUCCACAAGCUGAAACCAGCACUGUCUCCCUGAAAUGUCUUCAUGACUGUCUCUCUCUGCCACUCUAGCUCAUCCAACCUACACUUCUUUGACAUCCUUGGAACAACAAAAUGUAGUCACCUCUGGGCCUUUGCACAUGCCAUGACUCUUGCCUGAACACUGUCUUGCCUCUUUGAUUGUCCAACCUCCUCCCCAUCCCUCAAAUGUAUGCAGGAAUGCCACAAUUUCUGGGAUGCCAUUCCGGACAUAAAUCUGGGUUAGAGGUCUCUCCAAAACCAUCCAAUAUUAUCCCUUUUGUAGUGUUUUUUAUAAGGUACCUAGUUACAUAUCUGUUAUAUCUUACCAUUUUAAAACUGCCAGGUUCUGUGAGGUUAGAAACCAUGUUUACCUUUUUUUAUUGUUGUGUCCCACAAAUUGCAGUUGCCUUUUAGGAACCCCUGAAAUAUUUUUGAAUCAAUUUGAGGGAAGUGGGAAAAAUAAGGCCGUGUUUUAAAAACUCAAAACUAUCCAUGUUAUGGAAAACAUGCCAGAGGAAAGAAUUAGGGAAGGAGGCGAUUGAAAUGCUCAAGCAAUUGUCCAGUGUUGAAAUAUUGGAAGCUGCCCAUGGAAUGAGAAACUUGAAACUGAGAUAAAUGAAGCAGGAAUAAUAGGUGUGAUGUGGUAAACAUCAAUAUAAAGGAUCAAGAAAAAAGAGGCUUGGAAGACUUUAUCUAAAAUGCAAGGCUGUGAUACCAUUCCCCAAAGCUGAGAAAUGAAAAACGGAAACAAAUUUUGAGGGAAAGACAAUUAAAUUUCCCACUUGGAUAUGUAAAGAUAAAAUAUUCCAAGGCCCAGUAGCAAAGUGGAUGUGAAGCUUAUAAUAUGGUUUGGCUGUGUCCCCACUCAAAUCUCAUCUUGAAUUGUAGCUCCCAUAAUCCCCAUGUGUGAUGGGAGGGACCUGGUGGGAGGUAAUUGAAUCAUGGGGGUAAGUUUUUCCCAUGCUGUUCUCAUGAUAGUGAAUAAGUCUCAUGAGAUUUGAUGGUUUUAUGAAGGGCAGUUCCUCUGUACAGGUGCUCUUCCCUGCCGCCAUGUAAGAUGUGCCUUUGCUCCUCCUUUGCCUUCUACCAUGAUUGUGAGGCCUCCCAGCCAUGUGGAACUGUAAGUCCAUUAAACCUCUUUUUCCUUAUAAAUUACCCAGUCUCAGGUAUGUCUUUAUUAGCAGUGUGAGAAUGGACCAAUACAGCUUAGAUAGACUACAGAAAGGAAGCCUUAAACUUCAGCCUCACUAGCAUUAGGAGCAUUUGUUAUCAGGCCAGUUAGUGUUUACAGUCUACUGCAGCUAUCAGAGUCUUUCUUUCCUGUGCGGAAUUCAUUCCAUCAGGUUUAGGAGGCACUCACUGUAAGCUAUCUCCAAGCACAGGAUAAACCUACAUCCAAGAUGUGGCCAGCUACAGCCGUAAAAUGGUAGAUAUAGGUAUCAUCAGCAUGUGUCCCAUGCCAGGCCAGCCUGAAUAUCUACCUGGAGAAUAUUCUGCUGAAAACAGCAAAAUAAACCCCAACCAUAUAUAUAAACAAGGGACUCUUUCCAGUGAUGUUACCAAAUGAGAAAAUGUGAGAGUGGGGGUAAUCAGCAGACAUCUUCAAAGAGAUCGCUCCAAAGAAUAAAGCCAAUAUAUGAGAAUGAGAAUCUUGUGAGAGAUGAUAAGUGUGAGGGCAGAUGCUUUCUUAGAUUACUGGUGAUGUCUGCCAAAACAUUACCCUUUCAAGUAAGCUAAUUUGAACUGGGAUACUAUUGUUUGUAAAUGAAAAAGUUUUCAGAAGCAGAAAUAGUGGCCACUGAAGUCAUAUGAAUAAGAGUGUUCUAAAGAAAGUGCUAUGGAGAAGAAGAGUAUAGGAUUAGGGUGAAACUCUGGGGAAUUUCCACUGAGAAAGAGCAGGAGAAGGAAGGUAAUUCAAAGAAAGUUAAAUAUAAAGUUGAACACAGAAUUGACAAUAGAUAAUUACUGGGAGGAUAACAGUUGGGCA